rnacentral:rRNA from 1 species
CCUACGGGUGGCAGCAGUGAGGAAUAUUGGUCAAUGGACGCAAGUCUGAACCAGCCAUGUCGCGUGCAGGAAGACGGCCCUAUGAGUUGUAAACUGCUUUUGUACGAGGGUAAACGCAGAUACGCGUAUCUGUCUGAAAGUAUCGUACGAAUAAGGAUCGGCUAACUCCGUGCCAGCAGCCGCGGUAAUACGGAGGAUUCAAGCGUUAUCCGGGUUUAUUGGGUUUAAAGGGUGCGUAGGCGGUCGGAUAAGUUAGCGGUUAAAUCCCGGGGCUCAACUCCGGAAAUGCCUUUGAUACUGGUCGGCUAGAGAGUAGUAGCGGUAGGCGGAAUGUAUGGUGUAGCGGUGAAAUGCUUAGAGAUCAUACAGAACACCGAUUGCGAAGGCAGCUUACCGGGCUACUACUGACGUUGAGGCACGAAAGCGUGGGGAGCAAACAGGAUUAGAUACCCGUGUAGUC